UCAGAUUGAACGCUGGCGGCAGGCCUAACACAUGCAAGUCGAACGGUAACAGGAAGCAGCUUGCUGCUUCGCUGACGAGUGGCGGACGGGUGAGUAAUGUCUGGGAAACUGCCUGAUGGAGGGGGAUAACUACUGGAAACGGUAGCUAAUACCGCAUAACGUCGCAAGACCAAAGAGGGGGACCUUCGGGCCUCUUGCCAUCGGAUGUGCCCAGAUGGGAUUAGCUAGUAGGUGGGGUAACGGCUCACCUAGGCGACGAUCCCUAGCUGGUCUGAGAGGAUGACCAGCCACACUGGAACU
rnacentral:rRNA from 1 species